CCAUUUAAUUUUUAAUUUUUCGAAAAUUUUUUUUAAUAUUUUUUUUUAGAGAUAGAUAACAUGCUAUCCGCUUGAUUUAUUUUAUUUAGAAAUAAACUUAGCUGAAAAUAUGAAUCAAUUAGAAUUUGAAUUUGAGUCUCAAGUGCCAACCAAAAAGUCUUUUGCUACAUGCUCUAGCUGGAAAUAUGAAUCACUGUUUUUUUGAGAGAUUUUUUUUUUUAAUAUUAAAAGUUAUUCCAGUGCGCCGAGUUAAAUUUUUUGUCAAAUUAUAAUUUGCUGUUGAAUUAAAAAAGGAAAAAUUAAAGUUGAGGAGU
rnacentral:lncRNA from 1 species